rnacentral:lncRNA from 1 species
AAACAAGCGCAGGUAUAACAGAUUAUUUAUUUGGAUUUUUACAAAAUUCGAAUUAUAUUAUUUCAAAGGAUGAGUUUUCGUAGAUGAUCUUGUGUGAUUGUUUUGAUGAUUCCAUGUUGUAGUACGUCUUUUCCUCGUCGUUUUGGUAUAUUAUAUGUUGAAUUUCGAGUUCGGAAUCAUGGAGAAAAGUUGGUUUGAUUCUUGAAGUGGUGUUCUUGAAUGUUCUUGGAGGUUAUGAAUGUUCUUAAUUCAAAAAGAGGCGUUUUUAAUCUAGGNAUACAUGCUAUUUACUGAUUCUGAUUAUGGGAAUGGGUUCCUGGUGGUGUGAACAUCAAAUCUGGAGUUUAUGGGGAGUGGAGGACGCCGGAUAAUCGUUUUCCGGCGAGUUAGUGGGGUGGCCGACGGCAAAUUGCUGUUUGGUCACCAAUGUUACAAAGAUGAUGAAGUUUUAGUAUUAAGGUUUUAAAUCUUACAAAACAGCCCCUGUAACUUCUGAAAGUUACAGUUUUGACCCUGGCUGAAAGUUUUCAAAACUUUACACUUUAAACCUUUUUAUUUUAAUUUUCAAAAAUUGUUUUUAUUUAAUUAUUUUGAUUCCAAA